AUUGAGCGCUGGCGGCAUGCCUUACACACGCAAGUCGAACGGUAACAGGUCUUCGGAUGCUGACGAGUGGCGAACGGGUGAGUAAUACAUCGGAACGUGCCCGAUCGUGGGGGAUAACGAAGCGAAAGCUUUGCUAAUACCGCAUACGAUCUACGGAUGAAAGCAGGGGACCGCAAGGCCAUGCGCGAACGGAGCGGCCGAUGGCAGAUUAGGUAGUUGGUGGGAUAAAAGCUUACCAAGCCGACGAUCUGUAGCUGGUCUGAGAGGACGACCAGCCACACUGGGACUGAGACACGGCCCAGACUCCUACGGGAGGCAGCAGUGGGGAAUUUUGGACAAUGGGCGAAAGCCUGAUCCAGCCAUGCCGCGUGCAGGAUGAAGGCCUUCGGGUUGUAAACUGCUUUUGUACGGAACGAAAAGACUCUGGUUAAUACCUGGGGUCCAUGACGGUACCGUAAGAAUAAGCACCGGCUAACUACGUGCCAGCCGCCGCGGUAACAC
rnacentral:rRNA from 1 species